rnacentral:rRNA from 1 species
UGUUUGAUGUUCUAACGUUGGCCCGUAAUCCGGGUUGCGGACAGUGUCUGGUGGGUAGUUUGACUGGGGCGGUCUCCUCCUAAAGAGUAACGGAGGAGCACGAAGGUUGGCUAAUCCUGGUCGGACAUCAGGAGGUUAGUGCAAUGGCAUAAGCCAGCUUGACUGCGAGCGUGACGGCGCGAGCAGGUGCGAAAGCAGGUCAUAGUGAUCCGGUGGUUCUGAAUGGAAGGGCCAUCGCUCAACGGAUAAAAGGUACUCCGGGGAUAACAGGCUGAUACCGCCCAAGAGUUCAUAUCGACGGCGGUGUUUGGCACCUCGAUGUCGGCUCAUCACAUCCUGGGGCUGAAGUAGGUCCCAAGGGUAUGGCUGUUCGCCAUUUAAAGUGGUACGCGAGCUGGGUUUAGAACGUCGUGAGACAGUUCGGUCCCUAUCUGCCGUGGGCGCUGGAGAACUGAGGGGGGCUGCUCCUAGUACGAGAGGACCGGAGUGGACGCAUCACUGGUGUUCGGGUUGUCAUGCCAAUGGCACUGCCCGGUAGCUAAAUGCGGAAGAGAUAAGUGCUGAAAGCAUCUAAGCACGAAACUUGCCCCGAGAUGAGUUCUCCCUGAGACUUUAAGUCUCCUGAAGGAACGUUGAAGACGACGACGUUGAUAGGCCGGGUGUGUAAGCGCAGCGAUGCGUUGAGCUAACCGGUACUAAUGAACCGUGAGG